CGACGAGGAAGAGAUGCUCUUGCCUGCUGGCUCUACAAGAAAAUAAACUGAAGAGACGGUGCAGGUUGUGUCUGUUGGUGGUUCUGGUGUAAAGGACUUAAAUUCUUCAUCCAAACAAGUGGAAAGUUUGCAUGUCGACAGCGGUCACGCUUCCACUCACGAAACUCCAGUUUACUCAGUAAGCCAACACAUGUCCCCUCCAGUGAAAUCAGACCAGUCACAACAGGCCUCUGACAUUCAGUUAGGUGAGAUUAUCUACUCGACAGUAUCCGUCAGACCAAGAGAAACCAGACCUCCACACCAUACAGAAAACACAGCUCAGGGGGGGGGAAACACCAGAACCCCAGGAGAGGAGGGGGACCCUGUUGUCUACAGCACCGUGGCUCGCAGAAGCUGAUUUUGUUGGAAGUGUUUGUGCGUAUGGACAGCACAUUAACUUUAAACAGUUUCACAUCCAGGCCUUUUCUCAUCUCUGCCAUCUACAAGACAGAGACGUAUUUCAAAAAGUACAAAUUCGAAAAAUACUGUGUGAUUGCAGAAAUUAUGUAAACCAUUACCGCUAGUUCUGGUAUCUUUAACAAAUUGUUAUGUAUUUGUUUAAUGUUUUCUCCAUGAUUUUAUUUCAACUGUUUUCAUGUUGGGCACAGUGGUUCGCGCAGCCACCGCACAGCAAGAAGGUCCUGGGUUCGAGCCCCGGGGUAGUCCAACCUUGGUGGGUCAUCUGGGGUCAUCCUCUGUGUGGCGUUUGCAUGUUCUCCCCAUGUCUGUGUGGGUUUCCUCCAGGGGCUCCAGUUUCCUCCCACAGUCCAAAGACAUGUAGGUCAAGUGAAUCGGCCAUACUAAAUUGUCCUUAGGUAUGAAUGUGUGUGUGUGUGUCGGCCCUGUGAUGGUCUGGCGGCCUGUCCAGGGUGUCUCCCUGCCUGCCGCCCAAUGACUGCCGGCAUAGGCUCCAGCAUAACCGUGACCCUGAGAGCAGGAUAAGCAGUUCAGAUAAUGGAUGGAUGGAUGGAUUGAUGUUUUCGUGCCCUGUCUUGGUGGGAAACACAGAAACGAGAACUAUAAUCUCAGCUGGGCUCUCUUGGUUGGAUAUGAGUUGUGUAAUGGAACGGUUUCCUUUCUUUUUAGAGCCUCCCUGCCACUAGGGGCAUUGUUCCAUUAUCUUGAGUCUUUUGCCUUCUAGUGGCAUAGUUAAGUACCGCAGUUUCAGCUUCCUUUUCCUGUGACAAGAAAAUGGUGUGGCAAUACAGCAAUGUUCAUGCUCCGUCAUCAGCCAUCACCUAGUUUCUACCCCUUUGAGUGGCAAUAUCUGUAAGUAAAGCUAUUAGCCAUCAUUGCUAGAAUCUUUAUUUUGAAGUAUUUUUUACAUAUUUGCUACAGUUUGUAUAAUUUUGGUAACAUGUAUGAUAGCACAUUUUAAUGAUGGCAUUCAGGCUAUACCUUUGACACUGAACACUGUAUUUACGCUAGCAUCAAAAACCUGAUUAGUUACAACUUACAUUUUAUUCCUGCAAAGAAAAUGUUCGUUUUAUACUUACCUUUGUUUCCUGAAAAACAGAGGAUUAGUUGUCCUAACUGUAACUCUAGAUUGAGUAAGCUAUUUUUGUAUUGUAUACUGAUGUAUGCUUUUCUGUAUGUUUAUUUUCAGUUUCACACUUCCUUGUUAUUAAAUCC